AAUCUUCCCAUUUCCCAUGUGGUUUUCUUUGGUUAAAAACACCCUAUAAGUACUUCAUGUGGCAUUAUGAUUUGUUACAAAGGAGAAGACUAAACAGUGCUUGACCUCACAUAAUACUGUAGAUCACUGUUGAUUUAAAGUGGCAGUCUAAAUUCUACACUUUAGCCUGCACCACCACAUUUUUAAUAUACCAAUAAACCAGAGUUACUCCAAGGCAAACAGGUAUUUUUUUUCAGAAGCAACUUUCAGCAUACAAAUGCGAGUGUGUCUCAAUAAAGUUAUUGGCUCACAAGUAUAUUGCAGGCCCUAGUCUCUGAUACAAUUUAGUCUCUGUUUAAACAAUUCUCAUUGGGAAAAUCAAAACCAUCUUAUCCCGUAGAUGUAGAGUGGAGAUUUACAAUUUGCUGAAAUCGUGUACUCAAGGAGGUAAGAAUAAUGAACCUUUUAAAUCUCUUGAGGCCUAAAUUAAAAAGGGUCAUGGGUAUAUAUACACAAUUAAAAGGAGGUUAAAAUGGAGACAAUGGUUAAAAUGGAUGUUUUGGCUAUGCAGCUUUCUUUGCCUUGCAAGAUGAGGUAAACCAAGGAUAAAAUGAGUUCUACUUUGAUUUAUCACAGGACAGGGAUGGUUUUUCUACAACAGCAUUGUUAUAAUCAGUGUUCCUAGAGCUCUAUGCUACUUCUGUGACUAUUUCAGGGGAAAAUUUGUGUGGCAAAAGUUACGUAUGAUAUCUGUGGUUUUUCUUCAACACUGAAGCCUCUUCUGCUUGCAUGAUCCUUUGUUUGUACUCUUUUUUUUUUUUUUUGCUAUUGUGCUGCAGAAUUCCCUGCCUACAUCCUAAUUUCUCUAUAUAUGUAUUAUUAUUGUGUAAAAUUGGUGAAAAUGAGUCUACAGCAUUUUGCUCCAAAUUAUUUAUUUCUCACAUCUUCAAAAUGUUCUGCCCUGCAACAUUUGGUAAAAGAGUUACUUUUGAAUUUUUAAAAAAUGUGAAAAUGAAUAUUUCAAACUUCAGAGCAAGCUUCUGAUUAGAAAUGGUCACAAAUUUAGCUCUCCUGACCCCCAAAUCUUACAAAACAUUUUUUGACAAAUGAGACCAGUCUUGAGAUUACACAAAUGUAAAAGGUCUCAAUUUUUAGGUAACUUCUCCUGAUCUUAUAUAUGUGUGUGUGUGUGUGUGUGUAUAGAAGGACCCUAAUUUGUAAUUUAACAAGUCAUAUUGUACUAAUGCAGUAUCAAAAGGUUAACAUUUAAUUUGAACCUUUGCAGUUAUUCCUCCAUGAAUAUCAAGGCUCUGAUCCCACAACUGAUUACAUAUGGGUGUACUGCUGACUUCAGUGGAACUUCAUGAGGUUGCAGGGAUGUGUGCAGGUGAAUCCAAUUGCAGGAUCUAGUCCUAAUUGUGCUUUUAUCAAAAUCCUGUCUCUUUCCUGAUUCUCUUAGGUCUUUCUUUCUAUUUUUUUUUUAGCUUUUUGGUGAUUCUCCCCAUUCUGUUCUUUGAAAACUUUUUCAAGCCAAAUAAAAGAAAGGGAAAAUGAAGUAGAAGAGAGAGAAAGAGAGCUAAUGCCAAGUACUGCAGCUAUCUAUUACAGAAUUAGUCCUGGUUUCUGCAGCAUUUUGGAAACUGAAAGUAUUUGGCACAGCUACCAGGUCAUGGCAUCUGGACCCGGCCAAGUCACAGACUGGCCCUAACAUGGACAGUAUCUGCCAGAGCUGAAGAAAUCAUUUUGGAUAAAACCAGAACUGACCUGAUUCCUCUGCUGAACCAUUACUCGGCUGACUCCAGUGACACUGUUCAGCACUAUGUAUAUCUGUCAUGUAUCCACAGCAUUGUCCUUGCCUGUCCACCUGGAAAGAAGGAAUGAGGCAAAUGAAUAAGGAAGGACCAACAGUUGAAGCUCAACUGCAGAAGGGGUUUUUGCAUUCCAGUUUGAUUCCCAGUGGCAUAUAACUUUUCCCCUUAGAGCUCUGAAUUCUCCUCACGCACAGUACAGCAUGUAUACUGCGGAGUGAGUGUUGCAGUGCUUUCCUAUUCUCUCAUAAGAAACACAACAUACUCUUGACUGAAAAGAAACACGCAUCACACUAUAAUAUAACUUCUGUAGAAGUGUAUUUUCAUGUCAUUGAGGAGGCGUUUUAUGUACCCAUAUGGGCAAUGUAUCACUAGAGUAAGAGCUACAGAAUCACAACUGUUAAAAUAUGGAAAAUAGAAGUAAGUUGCCAGUACUGAACCAACACUGACCUUUUCAGCCUUUUGAUUUGACUAGAAAGUAUUAACAUUUGAAAGAGCUUCUUAUCAAACAUCAAGUAAGUGCAGCCUUUGUUCGCCCGCUC